GAUUAAGCCAUGCAGGUCUAAGUACAGGCCCUAUACGGCGAAACUGCGAAUGGCUCAUUAAAUCAGUUAUGGUUCCUUAGACAUACCACAUCCACUUGGACAACUGUGGAAAAUCUAGAGCUAAUACAUGCGACAAAGCUCCGACCUCCGGGGAAGAGCGCAUUUGUUAGUACAAAACCAACCCGGGUUCGCGCCCGGCCAUCUUGGUGACUCUGAACAACCUUGGGCUGAUCGCACGGCCUCGCGCCGGCGACGCAUCUUUCAAAUGUCUGCCCUAUCAACUGUCGAUGGUACGUGCUAUGCGUACCAUGGUUCUCACGGGUAACGGGGAAUCAGGGUUCGAUUCCGGAGAGGGAGCCUGAGAAACGGCUACCACAUCCAAGGAAG
rnacentral:rRNA from 1 species